rnacentral:misc_RNA from 1 species
UUAUUUGAUGGUACCUACUAC